rnacentral:rRNA from 1 species
GGCCCUCGAAAUCCUGUGGCGAGAGGAUUCAGUCCGGGACAAGAAGGACGUGCGUGUCGGAAAAACCGAGCAGGGCUUCUCCUCACGGAGGCCGUCCGACUGCACGCUUCCGAGGUCUCGGACGCACUUGUCUCUCGUCCGAAGGACGCCGCAGCCGGUCUGGCAGCGCAAGCGUGACGGCCUGAGGGUCGGGAAAUGGCAGGUGGCCGGUGGGCAGUCUAGGCUGUCGGCCGGUUUUAGCCGUCCCGACAGUGGCACGUCGCCAGACCGAGGUAUCACGAGGCCCCCAGGGGCUUCACCACCUCCUCCUGACAACGGGAUGCGAGACAGAUCGAUGCAGGCGAACUCCACCGCCCCGUUGCACUCCUUCGGAGUGGACGGGCGGCAAAGGAGGGCACCGCUGGCGUCGACGGGCUCGUUGGAGGUCGGUGGCUCGCGGCGAGUAGGUCGGUCACCCACCCGACCCGUCUUGAAACACGGACCAAGGAGUCUAACAUGUGCGCGAGUCAAUGGGUCUUGAACAGGCCCAGAGGCGCAAUGAAAGC